rnacentral:tRNA from 1 species
GCCCGCCUAGCUCAAUCGGAUAGAGCGUCAGACUCUUACCUGACAGGCGGUGAUCUGAAGGCUGCGAGUUCGACCCUCGCGGUGGGCU